GGGAUAAUAGUAUAGUGGUCAGUACUUCUCGUUGUGGUUCAUCACCAACGACCGAGAGGACCCAGGUUCGAUUCCUGGUUAUCCCA